UCUUUUGGGAAGACAGAAAGGGGGAACUGGUUCCUCUCUCACCAAGAAGCCACCAUUCCCACUGUUGCAAGCAGCAAUUUUCAAUUCUCAUGUUACUCCUCCUGGCACUCCUAAAUCCAUCAAGCUGCUUCUGUAUUUUAGAAUAACCACAGACAUGAGUAUGAAUUUGAAGUACUCCAUAUCAAACUGACUUGAUGGCUGCUGACUGGCCAUGCACAUAUCUAAGCUGGAAAUCAGAAGUUUCUAGCUGUGAGAGCAAUCAUAUUAUGGAACACAUCUCCUGCCAGAGGGGUCUAAGAAGAAGUAAACAAGGCUGAGUGAGUGGAGGAGGAGAAGGGUUUUGGGCGUGUGAUAACGAAAUCUCUCCACACAAAACACGACUAACUCCCCCCUCCAGGAAGGCCACAUACACACAGGACAUUCACCUGAGAGGAGCUGAGAAGGGGUCAUAAACCAUCAAAGACCCUCAAAGUGCCGUCCAGACUCAUUCCUGAGGCCUUCUACCACCACAGGACUGCACUGUGAUCCAAAUGAUGCAACUAAUCCAGAGUCUGUCUCAAGAGACUGUAAAGCUUGCCCAGGGGAGGUGCCUGGGCAUCUCCUGAACGUAUAUGUGGUGGUUUGGGCUAGGCCUUCCUUGGUGACCAGUUUGUAACCAAGGAAGGGUCCAGAUUUACCCAGUAUUCCCUACGAUUUUUACGUAAGCCAGAUUAUAAGAAGAAAGGAGGAGAGGCCUUCGUCCUCU
rnacentral:lncRNA from 1 species